rnacentral:rRNA from 1 species
UACGAAGGGGGCUAGCGUUGUUCGGAUUUACUGGGCGUAAAGCGCACGUAGGCGGAUUGUUAAGUCAGGGGUGAAAUCCUGGAGCUCAACUCCAGAACUGCCUUUGAUACUGGCAACCUAGAGUCCGGAAGAGGUGAGUGGAACUCCUAGUGUAGAGGUGGAAUUCGUAGAUAUUAGGAAGAACACCAGUGGCGAAGGCGGCUCACUGGUCCGGUACUGACGCUGAGGUGCGAAAGCGUGGGGAGCAAACAGGAUUAGAAACCCCAGUAGUCC